AUCCAGACUCCUACGGGAGGCAGCAGUGAGGAAUAUUGGUCAAUGGCCGGAAGGCUGAACCAGCCAAGUCGCGUGAGGGAAGACUGCCCUAUGGGUUGUAAACCUCUUUUGUCAGGGAGCAAUUGGCGCUACGUGUAGCGUUAUCGAGAGUACCUGAAGAAAAAGCAUCGGCUAACUCCGUGCCAGCAGCCGCGGUAAUACGGAGGAUGCGAGCGUUAUCCGGAUUUAUUGGGUUUAAAGGGUGCGUAGGCGGAAUGCCAAGUCAGCGGUAAAAUCGCGGGGCUCAACCUCGCUCCGCCGUUGAAACUGGCGCUCUUGAGUGGGCGAGAAGUAUGCGGAAUGCGUGGUGUAGCGGUGAAAUGCAUAGAUAUCACGCAGAACUCCGAUUGCGAAGGCAGCAUACCGGCGCCCAACUGACGCUGAAGCACGAAAGCGUGGGUAUCGAACAGGAUUAGAUACCCCCGUAA
rnacentral:rRNA from 1 species